rnacentral:rRNA from 1 species
CCUACGGGGGACAGCAGUGAGGAAUAUUGGUCAAUGGACGCAAGUCUGAACCAGCCAUGCAGCGUGAAGGAAGACGGCUCUAUGAGUUGUAAACUGCUUUUGUACGAGGGUAAACGCAGAUACGCGUACCUGUCUGCAAGUAUCGUACGAAUAAGGAUCGGCUAACUCCGUGCCAGCAGCCGCGGUAAUACGGAGGAUUCAAGCGUUAUCCGGAUUUAUUGGGUUUAAAGGGUGCGCAGGGGGCUGUUUAAGUCAGCGGGAAAAUUUUGGGGCUCAACCUCGACGAGCCGUUGAAACUGGCUGUCUAGAGUGUGCGAGAGGUAGGCGGAAUGCGUGGUGUAGCGGUGAAAUGCUUAGAUAUCACGAAGAACCCCGAUUGCGAAGGCAGCAUACCGGCGCCCAACUGACGCUCAGGCACGAAAGCGUGGGUAUCGAACAGGAUUAGAUACCCUGGUAGUC